rnacentral:rRNA from 2 species
CCCCGGUAAACGGCGGCCGUAACUAUAACGGUCCUAAGGUAGCGAAAUUCCUUGUCGGGUAAGUUCCGACCUGCACGAAUGGCGUAAUGAUGGCCAGGCUGUCUCCACCCGAGACUCAGUGAAAUUGAACUCGCUGUGAAGAUGCAGUGUACCCGCGGCAAGACGGAAAGACCCCGUGAACCUUUACUAUAGCUUGACACUGAACAUUGAGCCUUGAUGUGUAGGAUAGGUGGGAGGCUUUGAAGUGUGGACGCCAGUCUGCAUGGAGCCGACCUUGAAAUACCACCCUUUAAUGUUUGAUGUUCUAACGUGGACCCGUAAUCCGGGUUGCGGACAGUGUCUGGUGGGUAGUUUGACUGGGGCGGUCUCCUCCUAAAGAGUAACGGAGGAGCACGAAGGUUGGCUAAUCCUGGUCGGACAUCAGGAGGUUAGUGCAAUGGCAUAAGCCAGCUUGACUGCGAGCGUGACGGCGCGAGCAGGUGCGAAAGCAGGUCAUAGUGAUCCGGUGGUUCUGAAUGGAAGGGCCAUCGCUCAACGGAUAAAAGGUACU